rnacentral:rRNA from 1 species
AGAGUUUGAUCAUGGCUCAGGACGAACGCUGGCGGCGUGCCUAACACAUGCAAGUCACGGGGGCCUGUAGCAAUACAGGUAACCGGCGAACGGGUGCGUAACACGUGAGCAAUCUGCCGAUUUCUGGGGGAUAGCCGGUCCAACGACCGGGUAAUACCGCAUACGCUCAUUGGGGGACAUCCCCCGAUGAGGAAACCUCCGGGGGAAAUCGAGGAGCUCGCGGCCUAUCAGCUAGUUGGUGAGGUAACGGCUCACCAAGGCGACGACGGGUAGCUGGUCUGAGAGGAUGGCCAGCCACAUUGGGACUGCGACACGGCCCAGACUCCUACGGGAGGCAGCAGUGGGGAAUAUUGCGCAAUGGACGAAAGUCUGACGCAGCGACGCCGCGUGUGGGAUGAAGCUUUUCGGAGUGUAAACCACUGUUGCUCGGGACGAACCUCCCCUUUCGAGGGGACUGACGGUACCGAGUGAGGAAGCACCGGCUAACUCUGUGCCAGCAGCCGCGGUAAUACAGAGGGUGCAAGCGUUGUCCGGAAUCACUGGGCGUAAAGGGCGCGUAAGUGGCAUGGUAAGCGUGCGGUGAAAGCUCGGGGCUCAACCCCGAGUCUGCCAUGCGAACUGCCGAGCUUG